GAUGAACGCUGGCGGCGUGCCUAAUACAUGCAAGUCGAGCGAACAGAUGAGGAGCUUGCUCCUCUGACGUUAGCGGCGGACGGGUGAGUAACACGUGGAUAACCUACCUAUAAGACUGGGAUAACUUCGGGAAACCGGAGCUAAUACCGGAUAAUAUAUUGAACCGCAUGGUUCAAUAGUGAAAGACGGUUUUGCUGUCACUUAUAGAUGGAUCCGCGCCGCAUUAGCUAGUUGGUAAGGUAACGGCUUACCAAGGCAACGAUGCGUAGCCGACCUGAGAGGGUGAUCGGCCACACUGGAACUGAGACACGGUCCAGACGCCUACGGGAGGCAGCAGUAGGGAAUCUUCCGCAAUGGGCGAAAGCUUGACGGAGCAACGCCGCGUGAGUGAUGAAGGUCUUCGGAUCGUAAAACUCUGUUAUUAGGGAAGAACAAAUGUGUAAGUAACUAUGCACGUCUUGACGGUACCUAAUCAGAAAGCCACGGCUAACUACGUG
rnacentral:rRNA from 1 species